GUGCUCCCUUUGGCAGCACAUAUAUAAAAUUGGAACAAUGCAGAGAUUAGCAUGGCCCCUGCGCAAGGAUGACAGAAAAAUUUGUGAAGUGUUCCAUAUUUUA
rnacentral:snRNA from 1 species